UACAGAGGGUGCGAGCGUUAAUCGGAGUUACUGGGCGUAAAGGGCGCGUAGGCGGUUAUUUAAGAUUGAUGUGAAAUCCCUGGGCUUAACCUAGGAACUGCAUUGAUUACUGGAUAGCUGGAGUACUGUAGAGGGUAGUGGAAUUUCCGGUGUAGCGGUGAAAUGCGUAGAGAUCGGAAGGAACACCAGUGGCGAAGGCGGCUACCUGGACAGAUACUGACGCUGAGGCGCGAGAGCGUGGGGAGCAAACAGU
rnacentral:rRNA from 1 species